rnacentral:rRNA from 1 species
UACGGAGGGUGCAAGCGUUGUUCGGAAUCAUUGGGCGUAAAGCGCGUGUAGGCGGCUUGGCAAGUCAGUUGUGAAAGCCCGGGGCCCAACCCCGGAACUGCAUCUGAAACUGCCUGGCUAGAGUCCCGGAGAGGAAGGCAGAAUUCCCGGUGUAGGGGUGAAAUCCGUAGAUAUCGGGAGGAAUACCGAUGGCGAAGGCAGGUCUCUGGGCUAACACUGACGCUCAUGCACGAAAGCGUGGGGAGCAAACAGG